rfam:Halolamina sp. CBA1230 CBA1230_contig03, whole genome shotgun sequence.
GCCGAGGUAGCCUAGCCUGGCCAAGGCGGUAGAUUCGAAAUCUACUGUCCUCACGGACUCAAGGGUUCAAAUCCCUUCCUCGGCG